CUUGCUUCGGGCAGCUUGUCAUAUUAAAAUUGGAGCCAUACAGAGAAGAUUAGCAUGGAACCUGCACAAGGAUGACACACAAAUUCGUGAAGCGUUCCAUAAAAAA
ensembl:snRNA U6 U6 spliceosomal RNA